rnacentral:rRNA from 1 species
UACGUAGGGGGCAAGCGUUGUCCGGAAUCAUUGGGCGUAAAGCGCGUGUAGGCGGCUCGAUAAGUCUGCUGUGAAAGUUCAGGGCUCAACCCUGAAAUGCCGGUGGAAACUGUCGAGCUAGAGUCCGGAAGAGGCGAGUGGAAUUCCUGGUGUAGCGGUGAAAUGCGCAGAUAUCGGGAAGAACACCCGUGGCGAAGGCGGCUCUCUGGGACGGUACUGACGCUGAGGAGCGAAAGCGUGGGGAGCGAACAGG